GACGAACGCUGGCGGCGUGCUUAACACAUGCAAGUCGAACGGAGUGGCGAACGGGUGAGUAACACGUGGGUGAUCUGCCUUGCACUUCGGGAUAAGCUAGGGAAACUGGGUCUAAUACCGGAUAGUGCAAGAUGAGCUCGCGGCCUAUCGGCUUGUUGGUGGGGUAAUGGCCUACCAAGGCGUCGACGGGUAGCCGGCCUGGGAGGGUGUACGGCCACAUUGGUACUGAGGUACGGCCCAGACUCCUACGGGAGGCAGCAGUGGGGAAUAUUGCACAAUGGGGGGAAGCCUGAUGCAGCGACGCCGGGGGUGGGAUGAAGGCCUUGGGAUGGUAAACGCCGUGCGACAGGGACGCGGUACCUGUAUAAGAAGCACCGGCUAACUACGUGCCAGCAGCCGCGGUAAUAC
rnacentral:rRNA from 1 species